rnacentral:rRNA from 1 species
UACGUAGGGGGCAAGCGUUGUCCGGAUUCAUUGGGCGUAAAGAGCGUGUAGGCGGCCAGAUAGGUCGGUUGUGAAAACUGGAGGCUCAACCUUCAGAGGUCGACCGAAACCAUCUGGCUAGAGUCCGGGAGAGGAGAGUGGAAUUCCUGGUGUAGCGGUGAAAUGCGCAGAUAUCAGGAAGAACACCGGUGGCGAAAGCGUUCUGCUGGGCUGCGACUGACGCUGAGGGACGAAAGCUAGGGGAGCGAAUGGG